CGGGGCUACAACGACAAUGUGAACUAUUGGGGGUACUUGAGGACCAGAGUUAGGAAACACUGUAUUAUAGAAACAAACUUUCAGUUUACUGAGGUCACAUGAGAGAUGCUGCUGUGAUCAUCAGUGUAUUUAGACUCCAGCAGAGUCCCACACUCUUCACUGCUGCUCAACUUCAUUAUUGUCCUUUUCGCUCCACUUCUCAACCUAAUUCCCAUAGCUGGGAGCACGCUAGCUGAGAGACCCCGAGCAUCCAAUGAUGGAACAUAAGUCUUGGGAGUGAAGAGCUGGAAGAUGGACAGAAGAUGUGUGAAGUGCCACGUUGUGCAACACCUUUAGGUUUUAUGAAACCUUUCUUUGCGUGAAUGUCAUGUUAGCAGUGGCGACCGGUCAUUCAGGGCAGGUGAGGUGCCACUGCAUUGUUUGC